rnacentral:lncRNA from 1 species
CUUACCAUUUCAUUUAACCAUCUAAAUCUUAUAAUUCAUCCUUCACUACUCAAAGUAAUAUACAUAUUCAAGUGUCUAAACAACACCUAUGUACAUGCCACCUUUACCCAAAAGAAAAAUAUACAUCACCAAGUUUGUGUUGGAGUCGGGAUUGUUCUGGAUGCUGAGCCGGGACACUUGACUUCUACUAACCUGCGCACGGAAACAACCGUACGCUGAGUAUGGAUAUACUCAGUGGUAUUACUAUAAAUCAAGACUAUUUAACAUUAAUAAAUUACAAACAUCGACCAUAAAUUUUAUAAUUAUUUAAACUACUUUUAUAUAUAAUUAUUUUACUUCAUAAAUCUUAAAUUCAUAAUUUAUUUUUCUCAUACUAACUCAAUUCAUAAUUUAGUUCAUACAUUCUUUCUCGUACUUUUCAAUAGUGCUAAAACAAAUAAUCUCAUUUUCAAAAUUUCAUUUCAAUUAUUUACCCUAUUAACAAAGCUCGGACUAUGACAGAUACGCGGAUUUCCACCCAAACACACCAGAAUGUCCAACCCAAACACACCCAGGAUAUUUUAAAUCCUCCAUAACACACCAGUAAGGCAUUAAGUGCCUCUUCGGAUAAAUCGAAGUAUAUAAUAACAGAAACAUCUUCUCGGCCGAACUACAAUCUCUUCAUCACAUCACAAAUCCAAUGGCAUGCCAUUUGUAUCAAAUUUAGUCCGACAAGUUAAUAGGGUAUUAUUUUACUUUUCUAAUUUCAAUUUAAUUUACACAAAAAUUUUCAAUACUCAUUCAAUUCAAAUAUCUAUUAUCUUAAUUCAUAUACAAAUUAAUUUUCACACAAGUGUAUACCAUCAACACCAUACAAUUGUCACCAUUUAUUUAUUUUUCAAUCAAUACACUUUUCAAAUAAUCACAUACUUACCUCAAGUCUUACUUACCAUACAUAACAAUUAAAAUUUCAGCAAUCAAUAAUAAUUAAAAUUUGAGUUAUAGUAAUACACACCAUAAUUCUCCCGUUUUAGUCCUCGAUGACUUUCUCCUUUCCUUUCGAUGCUGACGUUUCAGGUUCUUUGUUGGCUACGAAAAUAAUAGUAAUUUAUAUUAUUAUUUACAGCAUUAAUUAUAAUAAAUAAUUAAAUUUCUAAACAAUUCCUACCUUAUUCCCAAUUUAAUCCUAACUAAACUUAAUUAUUUUCUUAAUCCAAUUCACUCUCUUUUUCUAUUCAAAUUUUGUCUAAACUUAUAUUUAACUAUAAAAUUUCCAGCAUAUUUCCCUAAUUUCGAAAUUUCUUCAAUUUAGUCCCUUCAACAUAAAACUUAUAGCCUAGUUUACAAUUUAAUCCCUUAAUCAAUUCUAAUUUAGAAUUCAUUCAAUUAAAUCCCUAAUUCCUUAAUUUAUCCAACAUGAAUCAUAUUUGGAAACAUAUAAACUCUUGAAUUAUCAACUUAAUUUCAUCAAAACUUGUUUUAAAGCUUCUAAAAUAUCAAAAUUAAGAGAAAAGGACUUAAUUAAGCUUACCAAUUAAACUUGAAGCUUUAAAAUCCAAAUUUCCCUUUUUAUUUUCUUUCCCUUUUUCUUCCCCUGUUUUCGUUUUGUUCCUGUUUCGUUUAUGUUUCUUUUGUUUUGUUUCUUUGUUUCCUUAAUUCUUUUUAUGCUUUAUUAUUUUAUUAACAUAAUAUAAUAUUAAUAUCAUAUAUUAAAAUAUCUUUUACUUUAAUAUUAAGUAAAUUAAUAAUUAUAUAACAAGUGCACAUAUUUAUAUUGUUACAAAUGUCAUGAUCUAAUUUGCUUAUCAAAUAAAAAUCUCAUGAUUUAAUUAAUACAAUUAAUAAUUAUAAAAUAUCUUUAUACUUAAAGUAUAAGUAAUUAAAUAUUUAAAUUACAAUUGUACCAAUACAAUUCUUACACAUGUAUAUUUUAUUACCAUACAAUUGUCUUCUAUUUAAUUUAUUUAAUAAUAAU